GCAGUAGCCACGGUAAUACGAGGGGUGCAAGCGUUAUUCGGAUUGAUUGGGUGUAAAGGGUGUGCAGACGGCUUAUUAAGUCACUUGUUAAAUUCUUCGGCCUAACUGAAGGUCUGCAAGUGAUACUGAUGAGCUAGAGGGUGGAAGAGAGAAGUGGAAUUCUCGGAGUAGCGGUAAAAUGCGUAGAUCUCGAGAGGAACACCAAUGGCGAAGGCAGCUUCUUGGUCCAUUCCUGACGUUCAUACACGAAAGCGUGGGGAGCGAACAGGAUUAGAUACCCGAGUAGUCCCUGUCUCUUAUAC
rnacentral:rRNA from 1 species